UUAAUCUUCUUCCCAUCCCUGCUGUUUACAAAAUUAGGACCCUGCUUCUGUAAACAGCAGGGUCCUAAUUUUGUGAACAGCAGGGAUGGGAAAGUGGUAAUGUC
rnacentral:pre_miRNA from 1 species